ensembl:scaRNA small Cajal body-specific RNA 8
UGGGAGUGAUGAUACCUGGGUUGACCUAAGACUUGGUCUGCCUGUCACUGACCCUCCCUAUAGCAUUCCUGCUCUCUGAUGACCGGGGCGGACUGAGGGAAACCGCAACGGACAGAUACGGGGCAGACAAAC